AGAGUUUGAUCAUGGCUCAGAUUGAACGCUGGCGGCAGGCCUAACACAUGCAAGUCGAGCGGAAACGACACUAACAAUCCUUCGGGUGCGUUAAUGGGCGUCGAGCGGCGGACGGGUGAGUAAUGCCUAGGAAAUUGCCUUGAUGCGGGGGAUAACCAUUGGAAACGAUGGCUAAUACCGCAUAACGCCUACGGGCCAAAGAGGGGGACCUUCGGGCCUCUCGCGUCAAGAUAUGCCUAGGUGGGAUUAGCUAGUUGGUGAGGUAAUGGCUCACCAAGGCGACGAUCCCUAGCUGGUCUGAGAGGAUGAUCAGCCACACUGGAACUGAGACACGGUCCAGACUCCUACGGGAGGCAGCAGUGGGGAAUAUUGCACAAUGGGCGAAAGCCUGAUGCAGCCAUGCCGCGUGUAUGAAGAAGGCCUUCGGGUUGUAAAGUACUUUCAGUUGUGAGGAAGGGUGUGUAGUUAAUAGCUGCAUAUCUUGACGUUAGCAACAGAAGAAGCACCGGCUAACUCCGUGCCAGCAGCCGCGGUAAU
rnacentral:rRNA from 1 species